CAUGUUUAGCAAGUUUGAAUUUGAUGGGAAACUGAAUCCUACUUUUGUGGAAGGGGCAUUUAAGCUCCCAUUAUCAAGCAUACGAGCAUAUCUAAAAGAGCCUAUUACUCCCAGGUUCGUACACUUAGGUUCUGCAGGAGCUACCCGACCUGACAGGCCUGGACUUGAUCUAAGUAAACAACCUCCUGCUGUUCGCUUAAACAAGGAAUUGGAUUUUAUACUGACAUUCAAGUUGAAGGUUUCAUACUAAUUCAGUGGAACCUGUUGGUAUUUUUAUAUAUAAUCAGUGUAUCAAAAUACCACUUCUUAGCUCUUUUCUCUC